rnacentral:lncRNA from 1 species
ACCUCUGUUUCUAGUUCUAAUAUCAAGUGAAAUGCCAAGGCAUCUCAACUCAUGCCUAGAUGAACAAACCGCCCGUCAUAACUCUAUUUUUAUUGUUCUACUAUGUAAGAUAAUCGUAAUGACAUUCUUAUCUCGUGAUGGAAUAUAAAUGAAUGUAUGAAAAAUAUUAAGCAAAAUGUCCAAAUGCCGCGACUCACAUUGGCAGACUGUCGCUCCGGUCACGCGUAAUAUUUAACGCCCCGUCCAUAAAAAGACGGGUGAAAC